AUUGAACGCUGGCGGCAGGCCUAACACAUGCAAGUCGAACGAGUGGCGGACGGGUGAGUAAUGUCUGGGAAACUGCCCGAUGGAGGGGGAUAACUACUGGAAACGGUAGCUAAUACCGCAUACCAUCGGAUGUGCCCCUAUGGGAGUAGCUAGUAGGUGGGGUAACGGCUCACCUAGGCGACGAUCCCUAGCUGGUCUGCUAGGAUGACCAGCCACACUGGAACUGAUACACGGUCCAGACUCCUACGGUGGUCAGCAGUGGGAAAUAUUGCACACUGGGCGCAAGCCUGAUGCAGCCAUGCCGCGUGUAUGAAGAAGGCCUUCGGGUUGUAAAGUACUUUCAGCAAGGAGGCGUUAAGCGGAGAAGAAGCACCGGCUAACUCCGUGCCAGCAGACGCGGUAAGAG
rnacentral:rRNA from 1 species